GGAGGAUAUAGUUCAGUGGUAGAGCACAUGCUUACCAUGCAUGAGGUCCUGGGUUCAAUCCCCAGUACCUCCA
rnacentral:tRNA from 1 species